AUUGAACGCUGGCGGCAGGCCUAACACAUGCAAGUCGAACGAGCGGCGGACGGGUGAGUAAUGUCUGGGAAACUGCCUGAUGGAGGGGGAUAACUACUGGAAACGGUAGCUAAUACCGCAUACUAUCAGAUGAGCCCAGAUGGGAUUAGCUGGUAGGUGGGGUAACGGCUCACCUAGGCGACGAUCCCUAGCUGGUCUGAGAGGAUGACCAGCCACACUGGAACUGAGACACGGUCCAGACUCCUACGGGAGGCAGCAGUGGGGAAUAUUGCACAAUGGGCGCAAGCCUGAUGCAGCCAUGCCGCGUGUGUGAAGAAGGCCUUCGGGUUGUAAAGCACUUUCAGCGGGGAGGCGUUACCCGCAGAAGAAGCACCGGCUAACUCCGUGCCAGCAGCCGCGGUAAUUC
rnacentral:rRNA from 1 species